AAUAAGCCGAUGUAGUCUGGAAUAUUAUAACUACACAAGAUGAAGUAAAAUAUGCAUCAGGAAGCAGCGACGAUAACUAUUGUGGGGACACUUUAAUAUAAAGAAGUGAAACUUCAGCUGCUGGAGCAGUAUUGAAUUUUCAUUAAAAACAAUUAGUUGGUCCUUUAUUUAAGGCAAGUGACCGAUUGCCCAAACAGUACAAAACAGCACAAUACAAACCAACAUAAACACAAAAUAUGAAUAAAGCUGGGGUCUCCGGCUUGGAACGGUCAAUGCAAAGCAUUGGGGGUUUUAACCUGGUUAUAGAGCGCUCAACCUCACACUUGGCCCAGCAAUAUUCAUAAUACAUUUAAGUGUAAAUAAAAUUUAACGUUAUAGCAUUGUAACUCAAAUUAAACAAUAAUAAAAGGGAAUUAAAACGCAUUCAAUUUAAUUACUAUUUAAUUACUCAAUUGCAUUGAAGAUACAAGAGUAACAGAGCUACAACUUUUUGACGAACGAUCAAAUAAAACUAUUAACAAUUGUCAACUACAUUCCUUCUUUAUAGAAAAUGAUUUGAGAAUAUAGCGUCAUGGAGUUAAUAUCUCAGAUAAUCAUCGCGCAAAUACAGGAAGAAGCAGCAUUACAAAAGAAUCUUUUUAAUCAAACGCCUCUCCAACCGUUUUCAAGAUGAGAGACCACAACUUAUCUGACCAACUACUUGAAGAUGAUUGUAUAAUUACCUAUAAACCGCAUAUUUGUCUGCUGGGAUCCCCUCUAGCGUGAGUGUAACAACGGGUUAUUCACUUCGUUAUUCUGACAACGCAGUGUUCCAUGUAAAAUCUCAGCUCAUUUCACGAUCCUUCCUACACAUUAACUAUAAACUUAUGGAUUAUUUUCCAACUACGUUACUAUGACGGUGAGCAAAUGCCUUAUAUUCUUCAUGUACGUUUGCGAAUGCAUUGCAGCAACAUUUGUACGCGAAAAUUUGAACGCAAACGAAAAAAGUCCAUAUUUGCCAUUUGGUGAGAUUUAAAAAACAAAUAAGUAUUUCUCCACUUGCAAAAUGUAUACUGAAAAUGAGUUAUCCAAAUUGACGAUAUCUCCCGCUUUAACCAUAACUAUGCAAAUAAUUCUCUUUGGUGUGUAAAUGUGGAUCAUACGAAGCAAAUUAAUUGAUAUUCCAGCAUGUUAAGUCUUUCAACUGAGAUUGUUAUAGACUUUAAAGAUACUCUUUAUCAUGAACAGACCAUAUUCUGCUAACAAUUCGCCAUCAUGAAACUGCUUUUCGCAGUUUCUAAAAUUCUUCUACUUUUAUCUCUUUCAAACUCCUAAAUUUGAAAACUCUUCUACUUUAAUCUCGUUCUAACUUCGUUGAGCAAUAUAUAAAUUAAUGCUGAUGAAUGUAAACGUUUUCCCUUUUUGCGUUCUACAUUAUCCUGUUACUCUUUUUCUAUAUUGACUAAUAAAAUUACCCAUUCUCUAAACCGUUUUAAUGUUAUAAAAAUGUUUUUAUAGGUUUUGACAUCUCUAUAAAUUAUAUUUAGCAGGUUUCACCAUAUAAGCAGCAUUAACAACGGGCAGAAUAGAGACCUGGCAUAACCUGAAGCCUUUUUCUCGAUUAGUUCAAAAUUUGACGGCAACUGGACUGAUUGGUCAACUUGGUCAGCGUGUGCAAUCACGUGUGGUAAUAACACGCAAACAAGAACAAGAACAUGUACUAAUCCUCCACCUUCCCACAACGGUACGGACUGUGAAGGGACUACUGAUGAUUACCAGCCAUGUCUUCGAGAUCCUUGUCCAGUUUACGGUAACUGGAGUGAUUGGUCAAGUUGGUCAGCGUGCUCUGUAACAUGUGGAAGCGCCACGCAAUCUAGAAUAAGAACUUGUACAAAACCUCCACCUUCACACAACGGCACAGAGUGUGAAGGUUCACCAGAGGAUUAUAAGUCCUGCAUACAUGAACCCUGUCGAGGCUGGGGACAGUGAAGUGAAUGAGGAUCAUGUUCGUCGACUUACGGUGUAGGAAUACAACAUCGAAACAGGUUUUGUUACACGCCCAUCUUCGCAAGUAUAGAUGAUCUCUGUGUUGGCGAUUAUGCAGCCGUACACAUAUGUAUUUCAAGCGCAUUCGCAGAUGGUGGAUGGACCACGUGGUUAUCUUGGAGCACGUGUUCAGUCACGUGCAAUAUUGGACUUACCAGGCGAACGCGGGCCUGUACAAAUCCUACACCUCUCCCUUUUGGUCAUCAAUUUGAAGGACCAAAUAUUGAUCUUGCUAUAAUUGCUACAAUCAGCACUUCCCUACAAUAGUCCGUUUGCAUUCUGGCCUUCUGGAAAUUUACGUAAAUGGUCAAUAGGGAACCGUGUGUGAUGAUGACUUUGACGCAAGUGAUGCCCAAGUGGCUUGCAGAAUGCUUGGUUUCAAUAAUACACAGCUACAAAAAUAACUCCUCCAGUAAAAGGGUACGAGUCAAUGCCGAUCUGGCUGGAUAAUCUUAAUUGUACAGGAAAUGAAGAUUCCUUACUGGAGUGUUCCCAUAGGAGAGUAGGUUCCCAUGAUUGAAAACACAGUAAAGACGUUGGUGUUGUCUGCUGAGGGACCAACAUAAAUGAAUGCUCCAUUAUGAGCACUACCACACGUUGACAGAACAGGCGAUCAUAUGAAGAUAUAACAUAUGAGUUUGUGGAACGAAUUUGUGUUAACUCUAGCAUAGAGAUUGGUUGACCUAACUUGCGAAUAUAUUUGUUAAUACAUAAGUUUUUCAUGAAACACUUUUUUAAACAAAAUGCAACUGUUAAAUAAAGCUGCAUAUUUUGGCUCUGCAUUAGUGAAAGUAAUGAACGCAGGUUCAAAAGUUCAAUAUGGGUUGUCGGGCAUUAUACGUCAAGUAAUUUUAUAGGAGACUCGUUCUUUUCUAAAUUAAGUGAUUUGGAUCGCAGCCACUAAUAUAUUUAUUUUACAAGACACAGUGUUAAGUGAAAUGAUAUAAUGAAGUUAAUGUGUGAGUGGUUUAUGUCAUGGGUAUAUGUCUUGAAUUGCGAUAAAGCUAUUAGUAUUCCAUUUAAAAGCUUUAUACAUGAUGAACCA